rnacentral:rRNA from 1 species
AUUGAACGCUGGCGGCAUGCCUUACACAUGCAAGUCGAACGGUAACGCGGGGCAACCUGGCGACGAGUGGCGAACGGGUGAGUAAUAUAUCGGAACGUGCCCAGUAGUGGGGGAUAGCCCGGCGAAAGCCGGAUUAAUACCGCAUACGACCUACGGGUGAAAGCGGGGGAUCGCAAGACCUCGCGCUAUUGGAGCGGCCGAUAUCAGAUUAGCUAGUUGGUGGGGUAAAAGGCUACCAAGGCGACGAUCUGUAGCUGGUCUGAGAGGACGACCAGCCACACUGGGACUGAGACACGGCCCAGACUCCUACGGGAGGCAGCAGUGGGGAAUUUUGGACAAUGGGCGCAAGCCUGAUCCAGCCAUGCCGCGUGUGGGAAGAAGGCCUUCGGGUUGUAAACCACUUUUGUCAGGGAAGAAACGGUCUGGUCUAAUAAACCGGACUAAUGACGGUACCUGAAGAAUAAGCACCGGCUAACUACGUGCCAGCAGCCCCGUAA